UUGGCCUACGGGAGGCAGCAGUGGGGGAUAUUGCACAAUGGGGGAAACCCUGAUGCAGCGACGCCGCGUGAGUGAAGAAGUAUUUCGGUACGUAAAGCUCUAUCAGCAGGGAAGAAUAAUGACGGUACCUGACUAAGAAGCCCCGGCUAACUACGUGCCAGCAGCCGCGGUAAUACGUAGGGGGCAAGCGUUAUCCGGAUUUACUGGGUGUAAAGGGAGCGUAGACGGUGUGGCAAGUCUGAAGUGAAAGCCCGGGGCUCAACCCCGGGACUGCUUUGGAAACUGUCAUGCUGGAGUGCUGGGGG
rnacentral:rRNA from 1 species